rnacentral:rRNA from 1 species
CCAGCAGCUGCGGUAAUUCCAGCUCCAAUAGCGUAUAUUAAAGUUGUUGCAGUUAAAAAGCUCGUAGUCGGAUUUUGGCAUCACGCCGUACUGUCUGCCGAUUGGUAUGCAGGGUUUGGCGGGUGCUUCCUUCCGGAGGCUCGUUCCCUCAUUAACUGUAGGGUUCGUUAGUUCCGGUUCUUUUACUUUGAGAAAAUUAGAGUGUUCAAAGCAGGCCUAUGCUCUGAAUAGGUUAGCAUGGAAUAAUAGAAUAGGACUUUGGUUCUAUUUUGUUGGAUUCUAGGACCGACGUAAUGAUUAAUAGGGACAGUUGGGGGCAUUCAUAUUCCAUUGUCAGAGGUGAAAUUCUUGGAUUAACGGAAGAUGAACUUCUGCGAAAGCAUCUGCCAAGGAUGUUUUCA